rnacentral:lncRNA from 1 species
AAGUGCGGAAAAGGCAAGGCAGAUGGGCUGCCUAGCAACCGGCCGGGCUGUUUGGGCCGUUUGGCGCGCGUUCGCGGGCUCGAUCAAGUUGGGCUUCGGAAAUCAGCCUUGUGGGCGGAUUUGAGGAAGUUAUGGAGCGGUUGAGGCCUGAAAAUGCAAGAAAACUGCCCCUUAUUACUUGUAAUAGUUAGCCAAGUGUCAUGUUUGUAUGCUGCCAUGUGUCCUUAGGUAGUUUUGUGUGAAAACUACCUUUUCCUUGUAUUUAUUUGGCUAUGAGUGCACAAAUCCGAGAUAUCUAGAAAAUCUAGUAUCAUCUAGCAUAUGAGAGUUCAGAUUGCAAUUGUUGGGCAAUUCUGAGUGAGGAUUUUGUGUGUGCACCUUAGUCUCCUUUGUAUUCGUUGUGGGAAUUAAUAUAAAGGUUGGGCAUUGCCCGUAAACGUGCUUGUGUGUUUGUUUUCCGCUGCAUACUCUUGUGUUCGUUUACGUGGCUGAAAAGACUUGUGUUUGUGCGUGUUUGUGCGAAGAAAAUCGUGAGGAAGGCUGACUGGUUUGGUGGGCAAAUCAGGCCGUACAAGGGAAAAUUUCGGUGAUAAAUUAACCCCUGUAACAG